UGGCCAUAUGGAUGCCUUAAACGUCAGCCCUC
rnacentral:piRNA from 1 species